rnacentral:rRNA from 1 species
UACAGAGGGUGCGAGCGUUAAUCGGAAUUACUGGGCGUAAAGCGUGCGUAGACGGUUAUUUAAGUCGGGUGUGAAAGCCCCGGGCUCAACCUGGGAAUUGCAUUCGAGACUGAAUAGCUAGGGUACGGUAGAGGGAAGUGGAAUUUCCGGUGUAGCGGUGAAACGCGUAGAUAUCGGAAGGAACAUCAGUGGCGAAAGCGACUUCCUGGACCAGUACCGACGUUCAGGCACGAAAGCGUGGGGAGCAAACAGG